GACGAACGCUGGCGGCGUGCCUAAUACAUGCAAGUAGAACGCUGAAGCUUGGUGCUUGCACCGAGCGGAUGAGUUGCGAACGGGUGAGUAACGCGUAGGUAACCUGCCUGGUAGCGGGGGAUAACUAUUGGAAACGAUAGCUAAUACCGCAUAAGAGUAGAUGUUGCAUGACAUUUGCUUAAAAGGUGCAAUUGCAUCACUACCAGAUGGACCUGCGUUGUAUUAGCUAGUUGGUGAGGUAACGGCUCACCAAGGCAACGAUACAUAGCCGACCUGAGAGGGUGCUCGGCCACCCUGGGACUGAGACACGGCCCAGACUCCUACGGGAGGCAGCCGUAGGGAAUCUUCGGCAAUGGACGGAAGUCUGACCGAGCAACGCCGCGUGAGUGAAGAAGGUUUUCGGAUCGUAAAGCUCUGUUGUAAGAGAAGAACGAGUGUGAGAGUGGAAAGUUCACACUGUGACGGUAUCUUACCAGAAAGGGACGGCUAACUACGUG
rnacentral:rRNA from 1 species